AACUUUGGAGCUUGCUCUAAGGGGAUCAGUGGCGAACGGGUGAGUAACACGUGAGUAACCUGCCCCGGACUCUGGAAUAAGCGCUGGAAACGGCGUCUAAUACCGGAUACGAGACGCAACCGCAUGGUUAGCGUCUGGAAAGUUUUUCGGUCUGGGAUGGACUCGCGGCCUAUCAGCUUGUUGGUGAGGUAAUGGCUCACCAAGGCGACGACGGGUAGCCGGCCUGAGAGGGCGACCGGCCACACUGGGACUGAGACACGGCCCAGACUCCUACGGGAGGCAGCAGUGGGGAAUAUUGCACAAUGGGCGAAAGCCUGAUGCAGCGACGCCGCGUGAGGGAUGACGGCCUUCGGGUUGUAAACCUCUUUCAGCAGGGAAGAAGCGAAAGUGACGGUACCUGCAGAAGAAGCACCGGCUAACUACGUGCCAGCAGCCGCGG
rnacentral:rRNA from 1 species